GACGAACGCUGGCGGCGCGCUUAACACAUGCAAGUCGAGCGAGAACCGGGGCUUCGGCCCCGGGGACAGCGGCGAACGGGUGAGUAACACGUGGGUAAUCUGCCCUCGGCACCGGAAUAGCCCGGGGAAACCCGGAUUAAUGCCGGAUGGCCUCUCGAGCCUUCGGGUGCGAGAGAAAAGGUAGCUUCGGCCUCCGGCCGAGGAGGAGCCCGCGGCGGAUUAGCUUGUUGGCGGGGUAACGGCCCACCAAGGCGACGAUCCGUAGCUGGUCGGAGGGGACGACCAGCCACGCGGGGACUGAGAAACGGCCCAGACUCCUACGGGAGGCAGCGGUGGGGAAUCUUGCGCAAUGGGCGAAAGCCUGACGCAGCGACGCCGCGUGAGGGAAGAAGGCCUUCGGGUUGUAAACCUCUUUCAGGGGGGACGAAGCCACUCGGGUUAACAGCCCAGAGGGUGACGGUACCUCCAGAAGAAGCCCCGGCCAACUACGUGCCAGCAGCCGCAGUAACAC
rnacentral:rRNA from 1 species